UCUCUUUCUCUCUCUUCUGCCCAUCCUUACCAAUUAGAACUACAACCCCCCAAAAACCAAUUUCAUUAUCUUCCCUCUCCGAUACAAAAAGAACCCCAAAAUCAACGAGCCCAAAAUUGAAGGCUUCGAUGGUGAUGGCGACGACAAGAUGGCUUUGAAGGUUUCUCUCCAUCCAAAAACCCUCCAUGACAUCCCAAUCGAGUGAGAGAACCCUAAAAACAUUCCAAUUCAUCUCAAAUCUCUCUCCUACAUCUACGACCUCCGACCCCGACUCCGACCCCGAUAGCGCUCUCCCUUCUCUGAUUGAAAGCAAAGAAGCUUCAAAAACUAUGGAUGAAAUCCACCAAGCUUAGGAGCAGAUCCACAAGAUCAGGAUCACUCUCUUCUCCAAAAACGUCAAGAAACUCGAGAAAGGUUGUAGGGGAGGAGUUGGCUUCUGUAAACGAGAGCUGAUGAAGAGCGUGCUGCACACAACCCUACCAAACUGGUUUUCAAUUAAAACACUUUCUACUUUUGAUGAUUUUUUUGUCUAUCAGGUGGUUUUCUUGUGCUGAUACUGAUAACUUUGUGGUAAAACAAGUUAUUAUGGAAAGGGAAGUAGAAUUGCAAAGCAGAGCGCUAGAGGCAUCUACAGCCUUGGCAAGGACACAUGUGAAAUAGUCCUUUCCAAAUUAUCUCUAAUUCUCCUUUGCUUUUAUUCCAUGGUAUUUCGGCAAUUUAUAAUUGAUACUUUGUAGCUGAUCAAUAUUUACUAUGUUGAUUGGAUUGUUGUUACUGUGAAUGCUUGGGAAUUGGAUUUUACUUCCUCACACAAAAUAUCUUAUUGGAAUCUAUAAAUGUAAUAUUGGUAAUGUAAUUGACUUCCAAUUUGUGGAGAUGUUGAUAUACUGGAACCUAAUAAAUGCAGGGAAUUCAGGAGCAGGUGGGUGAAAAGUGGUGGGAUUUUCAUGAUGUUUUACAUAAAGGAGAUUGUGGAGGACAAAAACCAAGACUGGCCUGAUAAGGUAAAAUAGUGUGGGCAUAUAUUACACUAUGGAGGAUAAUUGGCCUAGUGGGGAUUGUGCCUUUUGCGAGCUAUUUUAAUUUGAUGCAUGUGCAAGUUGUUUAGUUGGUUACCUUUUGUGUACAACUCUUGUAGUACUUCAUGAUGCUUUUGUGUUGCAAGGAUAAUACAUACCAUGUAAUGUAAACUACUAUUAGAAAGAAUUUUAUGAUGAUUGAU